GACGAACGCUGGCGGCGUGCCUAAUACAUGCAAGUCGAGCGCAGGAAACUGACGGAACUCUUCGGAGGGAAGGCAGUGGAAUGAGCGGCGGACGGGUGAGUAACACGUAAGGAACCUGCCUCAAGGAUUGGGAUAACUCCGAGAAAUCGGAGCUAAUACCGGAUAGUUCAACGGACCGCAUGGUCCGCUGAUGAAAGGCGCUCCGGCGUCACCUUGAGAUGGCCUUGCGGUGCAUUAGCUAGUUGGUGGGGUAACGGCCCACCAAGGCGACGAUGCAUAGCCGACCUGCGAGGGUGAUCGGCCACACUGGGACUGAGACACGGCCCAGACUCCUACGGGAGGCAGCAGUAGGGAAUCUUCCACAAUGGACGAAAGUCUGAUGGAGCAACGCCGCGUGAGUGAUGAAGGUUUUCGGAUCGUAAAACUCUGUUGUAAGGGAAGAACACGUACGAGAGGAAAUGCUCGUACCUUGACGGUACCUUACGAGAAAGCCACGGCUAACUACGUGCCAGCCGCCGCGGUAAAAC
rnacentral:rRNA from 1 species